rnacentral:miRNA from 1 species
UUUCAUUUGUGUGUGUAUGUGUGUGUAUGUGUAUAUAUAUAUAUAUAUAUACACACACACACACACACACAUACAUACAUACAUACAA